AGCAAAGGCCCAUUUUUUUUUGUUGCAACCUUGCUCUUUUCCUAUUCCUUCUUCCUUUUGCUAGAUGAAAUUCUAUCUCUCUUCGUCUUCUUUUUCCAAAAUUCCCCAGGUAAAUCCUUUUUUUUUGUUUUGAGAUUAAUUAGUUCUGUUUCAUGUUUCGUUGAUGUUUAUUAUGGUUGGUCAAUUAUUAGUUAGAAUCGUGAACACUUCAAUGCUAACUGCCUCUAACUUGAUAAUUGAUAUGAUCUUUAUCAUUGAUGAACUUAUCUGAUAUAAGGCAUUUUGGAGUGGUUAGCAUUUACGAAAUCAAUUGCAGUAAUUUAUUGAAUGUUAGGAAAUCAAUUGCAGGCAGAGAAUGAGGCGUUUUCGGUGUUUCUUCAUUUCAGAAAGGAUGAAGCAGACAGAGGCCAGAGGGUUAGUCAUUGCUGAAAAUAUUUAGUAACUAUUAUAGGGCAGGGGGUCAUGGUUGGGUUUGGAUUGGUUUUUCCCUAAAAAGAAAUCAAACCAAGUAAGUCGGUUUUUCAAAUAUUAGAACCAAACCAAACCAAUUAAGUCGGUUUUUUCUUGAUUCAGUUUAUGUCGGUUUUUCGGUUAUUUGUCGGUUUUUUCGGUUAUUUGUCGGUUUUUUCUUAAAUAUAAGAUAUACACUACCAAACACAUAUUUCGGCGACCACAUUUUCAAUUUAACACUAUCAAAUCAAUUGCCCUUUGAGAAAUCUAUUAUUUACCAAGAUAUAUUGAUGAUAAUUGAAUCAAAUAGUGAUGAUAAAUUUAAGGACUCAAUUAAAAAUAUAUUAUGUUUAACACGAAAUAGAUUCUUACACAUAACAAAAGAAAACUACCAAUCAAACUAGAAUGUAAAGGUAAAGACGUGUACUAAAAGUGCAAACGAUUAACAUUUACUAUAUAAUUUUUGAAACUUUGUAUAAAAGUAUACAUAUAUAUAGGUGUAAUAAAUAAAUUUAAAAUAGCUACUCCUAUAUUUGGUUUGGUUCGUUUUUUUUUAUUAAAACCAAAAUCAAACCAAAUUUGAUCGGUUUUUAAAUUUCAAAACCAAAACUAAACCAAACCAAAAAGUAUCUUUUUUUUGGUCGGUUUGGUUUGGUUUUCGGUUUGGUUCGGGUUUUCGGAUUUUUAUGAACACCCCUAUUAUAGGGUAUAUAUAAUGAUAUUGUUCUGACUUCUCACUAAUUUGUAAAUAAUUUUCCGUGAGGGUUCGCUUUUCGGUCAGUUCUAUUAUUUGGUAUCAGAUAAUUUUCAUUUUACUUUUUUUCUUUUAUUUUUUCAUUUACUUCAAUUUAAAAUGCCUAAUCCAAGAUUAAUAUUCCAUGUCAAUAAAAAGAGGAUAAAACUCUUCGACUCACGUUAAACCAUUCUUACUCUUCAUCCUUUAUCCCUCUCCAGUCUUCACUCACUUUUAGACUCUCAAACUAACCCUAAACCCAAGUUGAGAAUUAAACCAAGAGGAAUAAUUAAUUUUACAAAUACCAAUAUUUUUAAUAUUUUUCCACCGUGCUUUAUGGCUAAAUCAUUUGGGAAAUGCAUCUCCUUUCGAUUGAAGCAUUGGUGACGUAUUUUUUUUUUAUAACUUUGAAUUUUUUUGUUACCAUUAUAAAGUAGGGAGAUAAGUCCGCUUACAUGUCACCUCUCAUUGCCCAGGAAUCUCGAUUUUCUACAUUUUCCUUUUCUCCAGAUUUUUCCUUUUAACUGCUUUAACAAAAAUUCAAAAGUUGCCUUUUAUAAUAAUCUUAAUAAUUGUGGAUUUUCCUCUAAUUACUUUCACACGUCGCUUCACUUCCUCUUCCGUUACGACACCUCUCUUCAAUUGUUUCUUCUUCUUCUUUCGCCAGUUAAAUAUCUAUCUCUUCCUUUGUUCUCCCCGUCGGCCAACGUAAAUCUCCUCUAGCUUUCAAUUGCUUGAUUCCUCCUUUAAUUUGAUGUAUUUAUGCAGAUAUUUUAUUUAAUUACGUAUGUUGUAAAUUUUGAUUGAUUUUGAAUUUUUGUAUCGGGCUAAAGUUCAUUUGUAUUAUAUUUAUUAGCUUUGCUUCGUUUGUUAGUGUUUAUAGGUUGGAUUCGAAUAAUGGUGCUCUGGAAGAAUCAAACUUAGUUCUUCUAUUAACCUAUGAGAUAUGCUCAAGUGAGAAUAAAUAGGAAUUGGGGGUUUCAACUUAUGAAGGCAAAAAAUUGAUAGAUUAUAAUCUUAGUUUAAUCUCUUUUGUUGGUAUUCUAAUUACAACAACAACAACAACAACAACAAUAACAACAAUAACAACGGCCCAGUAUAAUCCCACAAGUGGGGAUUUGCUGGUAUUUUGAUUGUUGUUUCAAAUUUAUUUUGAACAGUAAAGAUCUCUUCGGAUAAAGUAUGGAGAAGUUGAAGAAAACUGGAAUUGUAAACUCGAGAACAGCUGUUACACAUAUGUUUUUUCACCGAAAUAUUUUCUUUUUAUUAUUGUGAUGUUGUGCUUUUAGUCAUUGUGCCACUGAGAUUUUUCCAAGGAAAUUUUUCGUACUUCUUGUGAUGUGUGUUUUUCUUAUCUGAAUGCUUUUUUUCCCCUUUCAGAGUAAGUUUACAUAUUUUUGAUAUGUUGUCGUUCAAUUUGUG
rnacentral:lncRNA from 1 species